UAUUUCAGGGCCUGACGUAGAAUUUUCCCAAGUAUAGGGGUUAAAUUUGCAUAUUUGUAAACCUUUUAUUUUAGUUACCAAAUCGCACCAAUUUGUGAAGAGGGAAGAAAAAAUUGAGACUCAAAACUUUCCACCUGAAAUUUUGUAUUGCGACCUGUGAUUAUUCAUGCACAUGCAAUCCUAUUGCGGCCAUUUCGUAUGAUGAAAAUCAGAUGGCGCAGAAGAAAUUUGAGAUGAUUUGAUUGCUGCACGUUUUGGAGUGAUUUCAGGAAAAAUCAAGGAUUAAUUGAAGGACUUCGAAGACAUGAGAUUGAAGUACGUCUCGAGAGAAAUCCGUGAGCGCAAACGACGACCAAAUCCGAGUCGGGACGAGGGAGAACGGAGCAAAACGAGCGGACUGCGCAAGGAGCCCAGGGCCCCGCGGUCACGGGUGGUGACCGCGGGAGAAACACGGAAUUGAUGCUUUUGGUGGGGCCCAGACGCGAUUUCAGCCCCCAAAUACUCAUUUUCCCCCCUCUUUUCAUAUCAUCCAUCAUUCUUCACCUCUCAAAAACCCUAGCCUCCAUUCUCUACCAUUUUUCUCUCUUCGACACACAAAAACAACGCCAAAAUCAAAGAAAGAAGAUGAAGACUUGGAAAGGAGCUCAUCAAGAUUACAUGAUUGAAGAUCAAGAUUAUAGGAUUUGUCUAUGAAUCUGUAUCUCUCUAUAUCUUUAUUUAUGUUUUCUUAUGACUUGGAAUUUAUUUUUAUUAUGAAUAUGCUUGGCUAAAAUCCCUUAUCUUGGGGAUUAGAUUAGAUGGAUUUGUAAUGGAUUGAUUUCUUUGUUUAAUAUAUAUCUUGAUUGUGCUUAUUGUUA